GGAAUAUUGGACAAUGGGGGCAACCCUGAUCCAGCAAUGCCGCGUGUGUGAAGAAGGCCUGCGGGUUGUAAAGCACUUUCAGUGGGGAAGAAAGACGUUGGGUUAAUACCCUGGCGGGUUGACAUUGCCCACAGAAGAAGCACCGGCUAACUCCGUGCCAGCAGCCGCGGUAAUACGGAGGGUGCAAGCGUUAAUCGGAAUUACUGGGCGUAAUGCGCGCGUAGGCGGCGAGCUAAGUCCGAUGUGAAAGCCCUGGGCUUAACCUGGUAAUGGCAUUGGAUACUGGCUGGCUAGAGUGUGUUAGAGGGUGGCAGAAUUCCCGGUGUAGCGGUGAAAUGCGUAGAGAUCGGGAGGAACAUCGAUGGCGAAGGCAGCCACCUGGGACAACACUGACGCUGAGGUGCGAAAGCGUGGGGAGCAAAC
rnacentral:rRNA from 1 species